rnacentral:rRNA from 1 species
UACAUGUGGGCAAGCGUUGUUCGGAAUUACUGGGCAUAAAGGGUGCGUAGGUGGCUUGUUGAAGUUCAGGGGUGAAAGGUUUUCGGACCCAACCGGAAAAUGGCCGUUUGAUACUGGCGAGCUCGAGUGCGUGAGGGGUAACCGGAACGAGCAGUGUAGCGGUGAAAUGCGCAGAUAUCAGGAGGAACACCGGUGGCGAAGGCGGGUCUCUGGGCAACAACUGACGCUGAGGAGCGAAAGCGUGGGGAGCGAACAGG